rnacentral:rRNA from 1 species
UACGUAGGGGGCAAGCGUUGUCCGGAUUUAUUGGGCGUAAAGAGCGUGUAGGCGGCUUUACAGGUCCGUUGUGAAAACUCGAGGCUCAACCUCGAAACGCCGGUGGAAACCGUAAGGCUAGAGUCCGGAAGAGGAGAGUGGAAUUCCUGGUGUAGCGGUGAAAUGCGCAGAUAUCAGGAAGAACACCAGUGGCGAAGGCGGCUCACUGGCCCGGUAACUGACGCUGAGGUGCGAAGACGUGGGGAGCAAACAGG